UGGGGAAUAUUGGACAAUGGGGACCGAUCGAUCCAGCCAUGCCGCGCUGUGUGAAGAAGGCCUUAUGGUUGUAAAGCACUUUAAGCGAGGAGGAGGCUCUUUUGGUUAAUACCCAAGAUGAGUGGACGUUACUCGCAGAAUAAGCACCGGCUAACUCUGUGCCAGCAGCCGCGGUAAUACAGAGGGUGCGAGCGUUAAUCGGAUUUACUGGGCGUAAAGCGUGCGUAGGCGGCUUUUUAAGUCGGAUGUGAAAUCCCCGAGCUUAACUUGGGAAUUGCAUUCGAUACUGGGAAGCUAGAGUAUGGGAGAGGAUGGUAGAAUUUCCAGGUUGUUAGCGGUGAAAUGCGUAGAGAUCUGGAGGAAUACCGAUGGCGAAGGCAGCCAUCUGGCCUAAUACUGACGCUGAGGUACGAAAAGCAUGGGGGAGC
rnacentral:rRNA from 1 species